rnacentral:sRNA from 1 species
GUUUGCACUUGUCGGGGAAGGGUGAGAACCUUCGAUUAAGGUUCGACUUGAGCGAAAGCGAGAGAACGUUGCCAACGGCAACGGCCCGUAGGGUGAGG